GUCGAGGGGCAGCAUGUCUUAGCUUGCUAAGGCGAUGGCGACCGGCGCACGGGUGAGUAACGCGUAUCCACCUGCCUUACACUCUUGGACAGCCUUCUGAAAGGGAGAUUAAUACAAGAUGUUUAAGCAUUCGUAAAGGUUUCCGGUGUAAGAUGGGGAUGCGUUCCAUUAGAUAGUAGGCGGGGUAACGGCCCACCUAGUCUUCGAUGGAUAGGGGUUCUGAGAGGAAGGUCCCCCACAUUGGAACUGAGACACGGUCCAAACUCUACGGGAGGCAGCAGUGAGGAAUAUUGGUCAAUGGACGAGAGUCUGAACCAGCCAAGUAGCGUGAAGGAUGAAGGUUUAUGGAUUGUAAACUUCUUUUAUACGGGAAUAACGAAUCCACGCGUGGAUUUUUGCAUGUACCGUAUGAAUAAGGAUCGGCUAACUCCGUGCCAGCAGCCGCGGUAAUACGGAGGAUCCGAGCGUUAUCCGGAUUUAUUGGGUUUAAAGGGAGCGUAGAUGGGUUGUUAAGUCAGUUGUGAAAGUUUGCGGCUCAACCGUAAAAUUGCAAUUGAUACUGGCAGUCUUGAGUACAGUUGAGGUAGGCGGAAU
rnacentral:rRNA from 1 species